rnacentral:rRNA from 1 species
GACGAACGCUGGCGGCGUGCCUAAUACAUGCAAGUCGAGCGAGACUCUUCGGAGUCUAGCGGCGGACGGGUGAGUAACACGUGGGCAACCUGCCUGUAAGACUGGGAUAACACCGGGAAACCGGUGCUAAUACCGGAUAAUCCUUUUUCUCUCAUGAGGAAAAGCUGAAAGUCGGUUUCGGCUGACACUUACAGAUGGGCCCGCGGCGCAUUAGCUAGUUGGUGAGGUAACGGCUCACCAAGGCGACGAUGCGUAGCCGACCUGAGAGGGUGAUCGGCCACACUGGGACUGAGACACGGCCCAGACUCCUACGGGAGGCAGCAGUAGGGAAUCUUCCACAAUGGACGAAAGUCUGAUGGAGCAACGCCGCGUGAGCGAUGAAGGCCUUCGGGUCGUAAAGCUCUGUUGUUAGGGAAGAACAAGUACCGGAGUAACUGCCGGUACCUUGACGGUACCUAACCAGAAAGCCACGGCUAACUACGUGCCAGCCGCCGCCGUAA